rfam:Picea glauca, whole genome shotgun sequence.
UACAACAUAGAUUUAAUGCACCGGAUCCUAUUAGAACUCUGCAGUUAAGCACACUCAAGCUAGAGUAGUAUUGGGAUGGUUGAUCGUUUGAGAAUUCCUAGUGUUUUAC